UCUCUGUUAGUAUAUCGGUUAGUACACGCGCUUGUCACUGUAUGCGUCCGCGCGAAAGCGGGGUUCGACUCCCCGACAGAGAG